AUGGAUGGCAACCUAAAGAUCAUAUUCUGGAACGUGCGCGGCCUAAAUUGUAGGGCCAAGCACACCGUUGUCCGAAGCGUCACCUCCUCUAUUUUAUCUUGUAUUGUUUGCCUUUAAGAAACCAAAUUGGCUCUAGUCUCGUCUGCUAUUGUCUUUGAAAUCCUCAACAACCAAUUUGAAGACUUCUACUUUCUCCCCGCGAAUGGCACCCGAGGAGGGAUUUUGUUGGCAUGGCGUCGUUCUUCUGUAUCCCUAUCCAACCCUACUAUUGGUGAUCACCACGUCUCAGCCAUUGUUUCAGACACUUCGGGUGCUAACCCUUGGUGCAUUAUUGGCGUCUACGGCCCACACGUAGAUGAUGAGAAGUUGGACUUUAUCUUUGAGAUCUAG
rnacentral:rRNA from 1 species